rnacentral:rRNA from 1 species
UACAGAGGUCUCAAGCGUUGUUCGGAUUCAUUGGGCGUAAAGGGUGCGUAGGCGGCGCGGUAAGUCGGGUGUGAAAUCUCGGGGCUUAACUCCGAAACUGCAUUCGAUACUGCCGUGCUUGAGGACUGGAGAGGAGACUGGAAUUUACGGUGUAGCGGUGAAAUGCGUAGAUAUCGUAAGGAAGACCAGUGGCGAAGGCGGGUCUCUGGACAGUUCCUGACGCUGAGGCACGAAGGCCAGGGACGCAAACGG